AUGAGAUCCCAGCCGCGUUCGGUGCCUUCCCCGGUGCCGGCGCCCCCUGCCCGGCUGCUCGCCGCAUCCUCGGCCACCUGCGAGCUCUGGAUGGCCCUCCCUGCUCCGCCGCUCGUCUUCUUUGAGCUGGAGCCGCCGCCACCACCUCCUCUGCUCCUGGCGGCGCCCUCCGUCCUGGAUCUUGAUUUGCAGCGGACUCCUCCACCGCACGCCUUCAAGGUCUCUGUGGCCCGUCUAGAGCUCCUGCUAGAAGGGGCGCUACUGCCUGUGGCGAGCCCCUGCUCGGUCGUCACGGCCAUUGCUGUUGGGGAGGAGCCCUCUCUGCCUUCAGCGCUUGCUCCUGCGAGGCCGGGCUCUCAGAGCUCCAAGGAGGUGCUCGCUCCCGACGCCGUCGUGCAUGCCUCGCGGCCACCACUGGCUGUGUCGUGGGCUUCCCUCGCUGAUGAAGUCUGCAGCAUUGACGACGACGAGGAGCUCGCCCCGCUGACGCCAUUGGCUGCCAGAUGCUCCGGCGGGGUGAGCGAUCCGGCUGUUGCUGAUGUUGUUGCUACUGCUCCUGAGGCAUCUUCGGAUCUAGGAUGGGUGAAGGUGGGGGGCCGGCGUCGUCGUUCGGCGUCACCGGACUUGGCUCUGGCUCCCCGACCAAUCCCCGCUUGGCUUGACGAUCGCUGCUGCAGAUGCCUCGUCCGUGGCCACCGUGCUGCAGUUUGUAGAGAUCCCUUCUUAUGCUCUCGUUGCUUGGAGAACGGUCAUCGUGCGUGCAACUGCCGCAACCCAUGGCAUCCUCUCAGUUCAUUGGCAUGUCCUGUCGUCCCGCCUGUCUCUCGCCCUGGCACCCAACAACAUCCACCUCCUCCUUCAAGAGAGGGCCAAAUGAAAUCCACGCUCCCCUUCACUGCGCUUCGCCAUGGGUCUUGGGCGUCUGUGGUUUCUGCUUCUGCUAGCCCGACAACCCCAUCUUCUAUGGUGCUUCAGACCGCCCUUGCUGAUCAGACCGAGUUGCUUCAAGGCUGGCAGGCACGAAUUGAGAGCUUCCUGGAGCGGGCAGAGGCUGCUUUGAGUAGGCUCUCCCUUGUGCCGGCUAUGUUGCAGGCCAUGCUACAGCCUCUUGGUGUGGCAGUUGUUGACUCCACGGAGGUCCGGGGGACAGAGCCCUAUGGUUGUUUCUCUCCUCAUGUUCGGGACAAUUCACCAUCGAUGUCUGCUUCUUCCGUUGCGUUGCCUCCCGCUGUGGGCGAGUCCAUCGUCGGGCUGGCGGCUCCGGUGUUACAACUCGUGCCCGAGCUUCGGGAUAUAUGUUCGAACCUUGCUUCGCCUUUGUCCUUGGAGCAAUUGGAGGUGGACUCAUCGACGACGUUGUGUAAGGAACAUGUUUCAUCUCUAUCAUGUGAACAACUAAAGGUGCCGAAGUCAAUUGUGUCGCUGGUUCCUACGGUGGAGGAGGUUCUGUCAGUGGUUCCUCAGGUCGAUGAUGUUGAUGUUGCUGGUUGGUUGGUGCCUGUUCCCACGAGCCCCUUGGUUGACGACAACGACACCAAGAAAUUCAAUAAGUUUUAUGAUUUUCUUGACAAAUGGGUGGCUCACCAGCCGACAUCUGGCAAGACAAGUGACCCUGCAAAGAAGAUGCCAAGUAAGGAGAAACCAAAGAAGCAGAAAAACAAGAAGUGUGGCGCCAUCCGAAAGGCGUCUGUGGUUUCAUGA
rnacentral:rRNA from 1 species